rnacentral:rRNA from 1 species
AGUGAAUAGAUACCCCGGUAGUCCACGCUGUAAACGAUGAUUACUCGAUGUUGGCGAUACACAGUCAGCGUCUGAACGAAAGUAUUAAGUAAUCCACCUGGGGAGUACGUUCGCAAGGAUGAAACUCAAAGGAAUUGACGGGGGCCCGCACAAGCGGAGGAGCAUGUGGUUUAAUUCGAUGAUACGCGAGGAACCUUACCUAGACUUAAAUGUAGAUUGACCGAUGGGGAAACCUGUUUUUCAGCAAUGACAAUUUACAAGGUGCUGCAUGGUUGUCGUCAGCUCGUGCCGUGAGGUGUCAGGUUAAGUCCUAUAACGAGCGCAACCCCUAUUCUUAGUUGCCAGCAUGUCAUGAUGGGGACUCUAAGGAAACUGCCUACGCAAGUAGAGAGGAAGGUGGGGAUGACGUCAAAUCAGCACGGCCCUUACGUCUAGGGCUACACACGUGCUACAAUGGUAGGUACAGAGGGCAGCUACACGGUGACGUGAUGCCAAUCUCCAAAGCCUAUCUCAGUUCGGAUC